GGUUACUGCUAUUGGAAUCCGAUUAAGCCAUGCGAGUCGAUCGGGUUUAGACCCGAGGCGCACUGCUCAGUAACACGUGGAGAAUCUGCCCUUAGGUGAGAGAUAACCUCGGGAAACUGAGAAUAAUAUCUCAUAAGUUAUGAAUGCUGGAACGCUUCAUAGCUGAAAGCUCUGGCGCCUAAGGAUGACUCUGCGGACUAUCAGGUAGUAGCCAGGGUAAUAACCUGACUAGCCUACGACGGAUACGGGGUGUGAGAGCACUAGCCCGGAGAUGGAUUCUGAGACACGAAUCCAGGCCCUACGGGGUGCAGCAGGCGCGAAACUUCCGCAAUGCUCGCAAGAGUGACGGAGGGAUUCCAAGUGCCUAUGCUAUGCGUAGGCUGUUCCCAUGUCUAAAUAACAUGGGGAGUAAGAGCUGGGUAAGACGGGUGCCAGCCACCGCGGUAAUACCUGCAGCUCAAGUGGUAACCGCUAUAUUGGGCCUAAAGCGUCCGUAGCCGGUUUAGUAAAUAUCUGGGUAAAUCGUGAGGCUUAACUUCACGAAUUUCGGAUAGACUGCUAGACUUGGGACCGGGGGAGGUCAGAGGUACUCCAGGGGUAGCGGUGAAAUGUUGUAAUCCUUGGAGGACCACCGGUAGCGAAGGCGUCUGACUAGAACGGAUCCGACGGUGAGGGACGAAGCCCUGGGGCGCAAACCGGAUUAGAUACCCGGGUAGUCCAGGGUGUAAACGAUGUGGGCUUUGUAUUGGAGGUCCCACGUGGGUGUCCAGUGCAGGAGAGAAGUUGUUAAGCCCACCGCCUGGGAAGUACGGUCACAAGGCUGAAACUUAAAGGAAUUGGCGGGGGAGCACAGCAACGGGAGGAGCGUGCGGUUUA
rnacentral:rRNA from 1 species